rnacentral:rRNA from 1 species
CAGCACCUCAAGUGGUCAGGAUGAUUCUUGGGCUUAAAGCAUCCGUAGCCGGCGCUGUAAGUUUUCGGUUAAAUCUGUACGCUCAACGUACAGGCUGCCGGGAAUACUGCAGCGCUAGGGAGUGGGAGAGGUAGACGGUACUCGGUAGGAAGGGGUAAAAUCCUUUGAUCUAUUGAUGACCACCUGUGGCGAAGGCGGUCUACCAGAACACGUCCGACGGUGAGGGAUGAAAGCUGGGGGAGCAAACCGGAUUAGAUACCCGAGUAGUCC